CAUAUCCACUGAGGUAUCGAGUCCACCUCCACGUUAUGUGCACCUGCUCCCCGCAAAUAGCACGCAGCCAAGCAGAGUUGUAAAAAAGGGCAGGUCUUUCUCGCCGCCAAUUCCUCUCUCUCACCGGCCGUACUCCCCCAACCUCUCUGCUCGGAUCCUCCAGCGCAGCUACAUUCUCUGCGCCCCCUCCAUGCACCCCCGCAUCAGCCCAGUCGCCAUGGGUCACCAGACACGGCUCCCGACCGUCAUCUAAUCUGACGGCCGGACGGACCGGCGUCUCCGCACACGCGCGACUACUAGCUUGGGGUCGACGGGGCUGCUCCCUCCCCCCAGGCUACACCGACCUCGGGUAAGGCACUCAUCCCCUCUGCUCUCUUACCGUUCCCGCUGCUGACCACCUACACGACCACCGUGCCUCACGCGUGAGCCCGAGGGCGGGACACACACCAUGCACAUCACCUCCGUGCCUCUUCCCCUGGUGUCUUACUGCUGCCUCCUGCUGUUCGACACGACCGCCUGACCCUCUGCUGCGGCCGGCGGCCAACGUCGUUCCCCGAAGCGCCGCCUCGGCAUCCCUCUCCCAACCACGAUGGGGUUCUUGACUGUGCCUCCAGCUCUGCGCAGGACCAUCACGAUUGUGUGUUCCUCUCCUAAUUAAAAUCCUGAAAAUCCUCUAAGAAAUAUGCUUCCAACAACUGUUUAUAUGAUCAACUCGUCAGGAAUAGGUACACAGCAAACAACAACUUAUGGGAGCUUGGUAUUAUAUUUCUGGUCAACUCCUCUGAAAUAGUUGCAAAGGAAACAGCACGAUGUUUAUCCAAAAUGGGGAACUAUUUUUACGUAAUGGGAACCUUGACAGUUCAGUAGUUUAGUUAUUCAGGAAAAACAAAAGGACUUGGUGCUUAUACGGUUAGAAGAACUCCCUUUUCUCUUUAGUGUGCAUUUUCAAUUAAAUUAAAAGUAUAGGUGCAUGUGCAAGUUGGCUAUAUACUGCCAAUCACAAACUGAAAGGCUCAUACCUAUGAGGAAAUGACAUUGCCUAUAGGCUCAGCAUACUUAGUGCGUCAACAGGAGCAAGGAUCAUAUUGUACAUAUCUGCUAGUGAGUUGUCGAUAAAAGUACUAAAAAAAUCUCAAUUAUCAGAUGAAUAAAUAAGCUGAUAGUAGUUUUCAUGUGUUCUUGUAGUUCGAUUGCAUUUAUAUUCUGCUUUCAUGGAAGUUAACAAUGGGUUAUGUCAUAUUCAGGGGUUCUGCCUGAAGCAGUACGUAGCUUUCCAGAAUCCUUCUCGCUAGAGUCGUGUAGAAUCCAGGACAAUUUCUUCUCCCCAUCACUUUGGUGUCCUGUUAUGGAACCAAUUAUACACCAGUCUGGCGCUCAAGGCUUCCUAUACAUCAAAUGAGUGCCUACAAUGACUAGAGUUGAUAUGGCCACUCAAGAUGUUGGAUAUAUUGGUCAUGUAGCUGGCUUAGUUAUCUCAUGGCCUUCAACCUUUAUAAAUGGAUGGUGCACAGCUGAGUUGAUUGCAAGGUGGAGAAUGGGGCUGCUACCAUAUAGAUUUAAGUUAAUUUUAUAGAAUGUCAUUUUCAUGCUCAAUGUACAGAAGUCAUGUAUAUCUCAAUGUAUAGAAAUCAUGUAUAUGUAUUCUUUGGAUUGCAUUCCAUUUAAUGCAACUGACUCGAUUUAAUAUAUGAGAUCUUUCUGUUUUA